rnacentral:rRNA from 1 species
UACGUAGGGGGCAAGCGUUGUCCGGAAUCAUUGGGCGUAAAGCGCGUGUAGGCGGCCCGAUAAGUCCGCUGUAAAAGUCAAAGGCUCAACCUUUGAAUGUCAGUGGAUACUGCCGGGCUAGAGUCCGGAAGAGGCGAGUGGAACUCCUGGUGUAGCGGUGGAAUGCGCAGAUAUCAGGAGGAACACCAGUGGCGAAGGCGCCGCUCUGGGCCGUGACUGACGCUGAGGAGCGAAAGCGUGGGUAGCAAACAGG